rnacentral:rRNA from 1 species
UACAGAGGGGGCGAAGCGUUGUUCGGAAUUACUGGGCGUAAAGGGCGCGUAGGCGGCCUUCUAAGUCGAACGUGAAAUCCCCGGGCUCAACCCGGGAACUGCGUCCGAUACUGGAAGGCUUGAAUCCGGGAGAGGGAUGCGGAAUUCCAGGUGUAGCGGUGAAAUGCGUAGAUAUCUGGAGGAACACCGGUGGCGAAGGCGGCAUCCUGGACCGGCAUUGACGCUGAGGCGCGGAAAGCCAGGG